rfam:Felis catus isolate Cinnamon breed Abyssinian chromosome D3, whole genome shotgun sequence.
GCCUGGGUGGCUCAGUCGGUUGAGCGUCUGACUUCAGCUCAGGUCAGGAUCUUACGGUCUGUGAGUUCGAGCCCCGCGUUGGGCU